AUUGAACGCUGGCGGCAGGCCUAACACAUGCAAGUCGAGCGAGCGGCGGACGGGUGAGUAAUGUAUGGGGACUGCCCGAUAGAGGGGGAUAACUACUGGAAACGGUAGCUAAUACAGCAUACAAUCGGAUAACCCAGAUGGGAUUAGCUAGUAGGUGGGGUAAUGGCUCACCUAGGCGACGAUCCCUAGCUGGUCUGAGAGGAUGAUCAGCCACACUGGGACCUAGACACGGCCCAGGCUCCUACGGAGGGAGCAGUGGGGAAUUUUGGACAAUGGGGGAAACCCUUAUCCCGCCAUCCCGCGUGUAUGGUGAAGGCCUUCGGGUUGGAAAGUCCUUUUGGCCGGGAAGCGGUUUCUGCAGAAUAAGCACCGGCUAACUACCUUCCAGCAGCCGCGGUUAUUC
rnacentral:rRNA from 1 species